rnacentral:misc_RNA from 1 species
GUGAAUCAUCAAAUCUUUGAACGCAAAUUGCACUCUCCGGUUUUCCGGGAGAGUAUGCCUGUUUGAGGGUCUGUUUAAAAAAUAAUCGAGGCCGCUGCUGUGGUGACGCUUCGGAAUUGGGUCAUCUUCCACCUUUCGGGGUUGUAAGCGACUUAAAAUUUUUCUUACGUUUUCUACGAACUGUCCAAAAAUUUUU